AAGGCUUUAAGUUAAUUAAAAACUAGUAACCUUCAAAGCUAAAAAUAGAUUCAUUAUCUAAGUCUUA
rnacentral:tRNA from 1 species